ACAAUCUCCCCCAGGACACAGACAAGACCCUUUCAAUAAAUCCAGCUCAGAAACACCUAUUGUUCAAAAUCUUCAACUCGCCACAGGCUACCACCACUCCCUAUGGCUUUGCAAAAUUAAAGAUUUAGAAGAAGGAUGGGGCGGUGGAAGCUAUGAAAAGAGGCAGGAAAAAAGUUCCUUUGACCCGAUGCUGUCAGAGAGCGUGCAUGAAGAAGAAAGUUAAUGGUAUUUCCAUUUAUAUAAGAAGCGCCUAAGAAAUGCCUGUGACGUUCGUGAACUAGUGAUUGUGAAUUCCAAAUUUGAUGCCAACUUUAUGUGUAAAGAAGCUAACUCCUGCCAACAUCGUGGCUGAAUGAACAGCUGGGACUAUGCUUAACCCAUUCCCAGCUUAUAAAAGCCCCAUGGCAGCUGCAGUGAAGCAUCA
rnacentral:lncRNA from 1 species